AACGAACGCUGGCGGCGUGCCUAACGCAUGCAAGUCGAGCGCGAAUGGAGCAAUCCUAGUAGCGCGGCGCACGGGUGCGUAACACGUGGGUAAUCUGCCUGGGAGACCGGAAUAACCUGCCGAAAGGCUGGCUAAUACCGGAUAAGCCCACGGACUCUUCGGAGUCUGAGGGAAAAGGUGGCCUCUGUAUACAAGCUAUCACUUCCAGAUGAGCCCGCGGCCCAUCAGCUCGUUGGCGGGGU
rnacentral:rRNA from 1 species